rnacentral:rRNA from 1 species
UUUCUCGAAAAUAAAAGAUCUAUAAAUUUUAUUUAGUUUUUGUAUCAACAAAAUUUGUAAAAUUUUUAUAGGGGUGAAACAUUAACCGAUUUUAUUAAUAUCUAGUAACUUUUGAAAAAAAUUUAGUUUGAUGUAUUAAGGGUAACCUUUACUUAAUUAUACAUAUAAUCUAUAGGGGAUGAGCUCUAUAGACAAUUUACAAGGUACGACAUUUACAUUUUUAAAUUAGGCCUAGAAUUAGCCAUUAGAAAGUGUUAUAAAAUAUAACUUUGUUCAUACGAUUUUAUUGCCUUUAAUUUUUUAAAAAGUUAAUUUUAAAAUACAAUUAAAUAUGAAAAUAUGAUAAUAUUAGUAGAUUUUGUUUUAAAUAAUUCAUUUUCCAUUAACAUAAUAAUUAUAAUACAAGAAUUCGGCAAAAAAGAUUUCCGAAUGUUUAACAAAAACAUUUCCUUCUAGAAAAGAAGGUAAGGCCUGCUCACUGAAUAAUUAAAGAGCCGCAGUAUUUUGACUGUGCUAAGGUAGCAUAAUCAUUAGUCUUUUAAUUGGGGACUGGUAUGAAUGGCUAAACGAGAAAUCAGCUUUUUUUAUUAUAUAAAUUUAAUUUAUUUUUUUAGUGAAAAAACUAAAAUUUUUCAAAAAGACGAGAAGACCCUAUAGAGUUUUAUGUGGUAAUAAAUUAAAUUAUACUAGAUUUAUAUUAAUAGAAUUUUGAUCCACAAUUUGUUGGGGCGACAUUAAGAAAUAUCAAACUCUUUUUUCUAAAUACUUUUAUAAAAGUAAGAUUUGAUCCUUUAAAAAAGAUUAUAAGAAAAAAUUACCUUAGGGAUAACAGCGUAAUCUUUUUUGAGAGUUCUAAUCGACAAAAAGGUUUGCGACCU